rnacentral:rRNA from 1 species
UACGAAGGGGGCUAGCGUUGCUCGGAAUCACUGGGCGUAAAGCGCACGUAGGCGGACUCUUAAGUCGGUGGUGAAAUCCUGGAGCUCAACUCCAGAACUGCCUUCGAUACUGGGAGUCUCGAGUCCGGGAGAGGUGAGUGGAACUGCGAGUGUAGAGGUGAAAUUCGUAGAUAUUCGCAAGAACACCAGUGGCGAAGGCGGCCAACUGGUCCGGUACUGACGCUGAGGUGCGAAAGCGUGGGGAGCAAACAGG